rnacentral:rRNA from 1 species
CUCACGGAGAGUUUGAUCCUGGCUCAGAACUAACGCUUGUGGUGUGUCUUAGUCAUGCGAGUCGAACGAGAAAGUCACCUUCGGGUGACGAGUACAGUGGCGAACGGGUGAGUAACACGUGGGCAAUCUGCCCCUAGGUUGGGGAUAACACUUCCAACGAGGUGCUAAUACCGAAUGACAAGGCGAGUUGAUGACUCGUUUUUAAAGGUGGCCUCUACUUGUAAGCUGCCGCCUAGGGAUGGGCCCGCGUCGUAUUAGCUUGUUGGUAGGGUAACGGCCUACCAAGGCGACGAUGCGUAGCCGGCCUGAGAGGGUGAACGGCCACACUGGCACUGAGAUAAGGGCCAGUCUCCUACGGGAGCCAGCAGUCUAGAAAUUUGCACAAUCGCCGAAAGGCGGAUGCAGCGACACCACGUGGAGGAUGAAGCCCUUCGGGGUGUAAACUCCUGUCAGAAGGGAAGAAGGCGCGGGCGUUAAUACCGCUCGUUGCUUGACGGUACCUUCAGAGGAAGCUCCGGCUAACUACGUGCCAGCAGCCGCGGUAAUACGUAGGGAGCGAGCGUUGUUCGGAUUUACUGGGCGUAAAGGGCACGUAGGCGGGUAUGCAAGUCGGUUGUGAAAUCCUCUGGCUCAACCAGAGAACUGCAGCCGAAACUGCACACCUUGAGUCCAGCAGAGGGAAUCGGAAUCCCAGGUGUAGCGGUGAAAUGCGUAGAUAUCUGGGAGAACAUCAGUGGCGAAGGCGGAUUCCUGGGCUGGUACUGACGCUGAGGUGCGAAAGCUAAGGGAGCGAACAGGAUUAGAUACCCUGGUAGUCUUAGCCGUAAACGAUGGGUACUAGGUGUUGGGGGACAUUGACCCCCUCAGUGCCGUAGCUAACGCAUUAAGUACCCCGCCUGGGGAGUACGGCCGCAAGGCUGAAACUCAAAGGAAUUGACGGGGACCCGCACAAGCAGUGGAGCAUGUUGCUUAAUUCGAUGCAACGCGAAGAACCUUACCAGGGCUUGACAUCCGAGGAACUUCUUGGAAACAGGAGGGUGCCUUCGGGAACCUCGAGACAGGUGCUGCAUGGCUGUCGUCAGCUCGUGUCGUGAGAUGUUGGGUUAAGU